UACGAAGGGGGCUAGCGUUGUUCGGAAUCACUGGGCGUAAAGGGCGCGUAGGCGGCUUUGUAAGUCGGGGGUGAAAGCCCAGGGCUCAACCCUGGAAUUGCCUUCGAUACUGUUUGGCUAGAGACCGGAAGAGGUAAGUGGAACUGCGAGUGUAGAGGUGAAAUUCGUAGAUAUUCGCAAGAACACCAGUGGCGAAGGCGGCUUACUGGUCCGGUUCUGACGCUGAGGCGCGAAAGCGUGGGGAGCAAACAGG
rnacentral:rRNA from 1 species